CCUACGGGAGGCAGCAGUGAGGAAUAUUGGUCAAUGGGCGCUAGCCUGAACCAGCCAAGUCGCGUGAAGGAUGACUGCCCUAUGGGUUGUAAACUUCUUUUAUAUGGGAAUAAAGUGCAGUAUGUGUCCUGCUUUGCAUGUACCUUAUGAAUAAGGAUCGGCUAACUCCGUGCCAGCAGCCGCGGUAAUACGGAGGAUCCGAGCGUUAUCCGGAUUUAUUGGGUUUAAAGGGAUCGUAGGCGGGUUGUAAAGUCAGUGGUGAAAGUUUGCGGGUCAACCGUAGAAUGGCAGUUGAUACUGGCAUCCUUGAGUGCAGUAGGGGUAGGCGGAAUGCGUGGUGUAGCGGUGAAAUGCUUAGAUAUCACGAAGAACUCCGAUUGCGAAGGCAGCCUGCUGGACUGUAACUGACGCUGAUGCUCGAAAGUGUGGGUAUCAAACAGGAUUAGAUACCCGUGUAGUC
rnacentral:rRNA from 1 species